UACAGAGGUGGCAAGCGUUGUUCGGAAUUACUGGGCGUAAAGGGCGCGUAGGCGGCUUGGUCAGUCCCGUGUGAAAUCCCUCGGCUCAACUCCAGAACUGCCUUCGAUACUGGCGAUCUUGAGUCCGGAAGAGGUGAGUGGAACUCCUAGUGUAGAGGUGGAAUUCGUAGAUAUUAGGAAGAACACCAGUGGCGAAGGCGGCUCACUGGUCCGGUACUGACGCUGAGGUGCGAAAGCGUGGGGAGCAAACAGG
rnacentral:rRNA from 1 species